GGAGGCCAGUGAAAGGCAACACGAGGAACACCUAUAUUUUAUGUGCCCAAAAAACUUUUCUUCUAAGUGAAAAGCCUUAGAUAUUAAAAGAAGACGAAAAGACCCCGCGGAACUUUACCUUUUCUUUACAUCUAUUUAACUUACUAUACAAAUAUAUGUAUCAAGAUUUGAUUGGGGCAAUCUCGGAACCACCUAAACUUCCGAUUUACAUUCUAACUAAUCUAAAAUUUGUUUCAGACAAAAAAGAAGUUACCCCGGGGAUAACAGCGUUAUCCAACUUAAGAGUACAUAUCGAAAGUUGGGUUUGCGACCUCGAUGUUGGCUUAA
rnacentral:rRNA from 1 species